UCUUAUCUGAUUUAAAAAUUGAAUAGCUAAAGCCAAUAAUGUGUUCCCAGUUUUAAGGCUUUUGAUACCUGUUGCUAAAUUGAACAAUAGGGUUUGAUGGAUUUUAAAAUCCCUAUUUUUAAAACUUUUUCAGUGAUUUUUAAAUAAAAAAAUUAUAUCUCUUCUUGGUUUAUUUUCUAUUAGAUGAAAAUCAUGGUUUAACAGUGUAAAACAAUAAUAGUCAUGGAUUAAAUAUGUGGUAUAAAUGAUAUAACACAAGAUUUUAUGGAUCCUAUAAAUAUUGUUUUUCAAAAUAAUUAUGUUGCUAGGGCUGGCCCGGUGGUGCAGUGGUUAAUUUUGCACAUUCUGCUUUGGUGGCCUGGUGUUCGCCGGUUUGGCUCCCGGGUGCGGACAUGGCAACACUUGGCAAGCCAUGCUGUGGUAGGCGUCCCACAUAGAAAGUAGAGGAAGAUGGGCACAGAUGUUAGCUCAAGGCCAGUCUUCCUCAGCAAAAAGAGGAGGAUUGGCAGCAGAUGUUCGCUCAGGGAUAAUCUUCCUCAAAAAAAAAAAAAAUUACGUUGAAAGAUAGGAUACCCACUUGUUAUAUUCAUGGUUACAUUUGCCAAAAUAUUUUUGAAGUUAUUCUUCAGCAAUUGCAUAAAGACAUAAAAAUAUUUUGUAUAUUAUGAUAGAUUAUUAUUAUUUUCUAUAACAAAAUGUAAUUGAACUUUAUCCCAAAUUUUUCCAUCAGAGUUGACAAAAUAAAUUGUUUACAACAUUUUCUUUACUCAAUAUCCAACCUCCUCCUUCAUAACCAGAACCUUAUUUUUUUCAGCUAGUGUGGCUACGACGUGUUCAGCCCUGGCAAUAGAUUAUGGCUGGUCCAAGCCAAUUCUCAGGAUGUCUUACAACAUGACAUGGUCUUAAGAACCUGCUCUGUCAAUAGGACUCGACCAGAAGUCUACUUAAGCGAUCUGUGGACUAACCCGAGAUAUGUGGAUCCAGCAACAGACAAGAAUUUUUCAGCCCACAUAAGGGAAGUCAUUUUUUGCAGUUGUAUUACUAGACAAAUCUCAAAUCCUGACAUACAGAAGUCCAAAUUAUAUUAUGAUCAUGGGUCUCUCCCACCUGAUGGUGAAGUGUGGACAGGAACUGGGCCCAAGACUGUGUCAUUCUGUUUGUAG
rnacentral:lncRNA from 1 species